UUCGGGGUAUACCUCCCACCCUUUGUUUAUUAUACCUUUGUUGCUUUGGCAGGCCCGUCCCUCGGGACCCCCGGCUCCGGCUGGGCCGCGCCUGCCAGAGGACCCCAAACUCUGUUUGUUAAUAUUGUCUGAGUACUAUAUAAUAGUUAAAACUUUCAACAACGGAUCUCUUGGUUCUGGCAUCGAUGAAGAACGCAGCGAAAUGCGAUAAGUAAUGUGAAUUGCAGAAUUCAGUGAAUCAUCGAAUCUUUGAACGCACAUUGCGCCCUCUGGUAUUCCGGGGGGCAUGCCUGUUCGAGCGUCAUUACAACCCUCAAGCUCUGCUUGGUAUUGGGCCCCACCGGUUCCGGCGGGCCUUAAAAUCAGUGGCGGCGCCAUUCGGCUUCAAGCGUAGUAAUUCUUCUCGCUUCGGAGACCCGGGUGCGUGCUUGCCAGCAACCCCCAAUUUUUUCAGGUUGACCUCGGAUCAGGUAGGGAUACCCGCUGAACUUAAGCAUAUCAAUAAGCGGAGGAAAAGAAACCAACAGGGAUUACCUCAGUAACGGCGAGUGAAGCGGUAACAGCUCAAAUUUGAAAUCUGGCCUCACGGUCCGAGUUGUAAUUUGUAGAGGAUGUUUCGAGCAUGGUCUGGCCUAAGUUCCUUGGAACAGGACGUCAUAGAGGGUGAGAAUCCCGUAUGCGGUCAGGUGCCUACGCUCAUGUGAAGCUCCUUCGACGAGUCGAGUUGUUUGGGAAUGCAGCUCAAAAUGGGUGGUAAAUUUCAUCUAAAGCUAAAUAUUGGCCAGAGACCGAUAGCGCACAAGUAGAGUGAUCGAAAGAUGAAAAGCACUUUGGAAAGAGAGUUAAACAGUACGUGAAAUUGUUGAAAGGGAAGCGCUUGCAACCAGACUUGCGCGCGGCUGAUCAUCCGGUGUUCUCACCGGUGCACUCGGUCGCGCUCGGGCCA
rnacentral:rRNA from 1 species